AUAAACUGGAGACAAAGCAUGACCAGUCUUGAUACAUGUCCCUCUGCAAUACUUCAGAACUGAUAUUUGUAGCUGCCCCUAGGUUCCAGCUAUGAUUUAGUAUCCGAAGUGAUGCAGAUGGGAUCACUGAAACCAGAAGAGGUUGGAUCUAAAGUUGGAUGAGAUGGUACAGGACAGGAACUGGAAAUGGGCUGUGUACUGUGGAGGGGACAUGCAUCUGAACAUCUGUAUUAACUGGUCUUUGGAAUGCUAGUUAACCGGAAUGGAAGACAAAGACAUUGGAAGUGAUGCAUACAAGUUGCUAUAUGCUCAUGGAGACUUUUCUGAAGGUAAACUGUCCCCAGCUAGGCAGAUUCACACAGUGAGAUUGACAGGAGAUGACUACAAGGCCAAGAGAUGGACUGAAAAGAGUUUUCUAAGUUACAUGGUCUCAUCUGAAUACAUCAUGGACAUCUUCACAGUUGAUUUUUUUGAAUUUGAAGGGCACUUCAAAAAGUAAUCAAUGUAAGUAUUUUUAGAGUAAUUUUAAUUUACUGUAAUAUUUUGGAAUUAUAAGUAAUUCUGCAUUUCUGCUCUCCGUGUAAUCACACAAUAUGUACUAAAUGCACAGAACUGACUGAACACCUGAAGAUUUUAGUAUAUGAAAUCUUGGUUUCAAUACUUUCUGCUCUGUAUAGGACUAACAAUCUUUAGCAUAGAGUAGGAAAAUAAUUUCAUAUGCCUUUAAAAUUAAAGUUUUAUGUGAGUCUACCCACCAGGAUUGAUGAAUCAGAUCGACUUCAAAGGGAAAUGGGUUUUCAUGUUGUCUGCUGCUUUCAGUAUUUCUUAUCUGAAAGGGGUAGGAGAUAUUCAUGCAUCUCAAUCUCUCUCAUGCAUUGCAUCUUACUCAAAGUGAUCAAAGCCUUUUGGUUAAUUUCAGUAGAUUUUCAAUAGAUGUUCAAGUCAGUUUUGCUAAUUGUUAGAAGGGAGAGAGGAAAUUUCCAACCACCUGAAAAGUGAGUUGCUGCCCUGAAAUAAAUGCUGAAAAAUGUAGUUUUCCAUCAGUUCCUUGAUUAAUUCGAUACCCAGUGUGGUGCAUUACUUCCUAUGCAGUGUGCCUGCCAUAUGACUAAAUGAAUCUCAUGAGUUUGUUUUUUUAACUGUGUUGUGGAAAACUAUGUUGUGUCUGAAUUGUUAUCUGUACAAAUGAAAUAUCUUCAGUAAAUGUACGAACUUCUAUUUCUUCUUUAAAAAAAGUUUUUAAACUUUAAACAAUGUAUCCAACCUUUCCUGCACUAAAUAUGCCAUUUAGUUUCUUUGCUGACACACACUGUGAUUUUUUUAAGUUACCUUAUGACAAAUGACUGCAUGAAACACAGGAAGUGGAGAGGGUGAGAUAUAAAGCUCAGGUUUAUUAAAGCUUGUCAUCAUGAUAGAAGUGACGUCUUGUACUUGAAAAGCCAACUAUGACUCCCUCCAGCUUGUCUGCACUUGUAAGGUUAGGCUUUAUUUUGCCCAGGGGACAGACUGUGUGAUCCAACAGCUCCUAUAAACAGCACAAUGCAUUGCAAGAGGAGAGGGAUGAGGAACAAAAAACAACAACAACAAAGAAACAACAACAAACUAAAAGGUGUGUUAGGAAAGAUCAGUUAUAUCAGUUAUUAAAAAGUAAUUUGUUUUAUAUUGGUAUUAAAGGAAAAGAAUUCACUUACUUGCUUUCAUAAAUAACAUGUUUUCAACCACUUUUAACUAUACGUACCUAUUAAUUGCUGGUUCAGACUUUAUUUACUAUAUGAUUUAUUCAUGUCUGUGUUAACAGAAAUUUGUGUUCAUUCAGGACCUAUGCCACCUGUGGUAGUAGUGUAUAUGAUGUG